rnacentral:rRNA from 1 species
UCGUACGCUUCUUUUUCACCGGAGCUUGCUCCACCGGAAAAAGAAGAGUGGCGAACGGGUGAGUAACACGUGGGUAACCUGCCCAUCAGAAGGGGAUAACACUUGGAAACAGGUGCUAAUACCGUAUAACAAUCGAAACCGCAUGGUUUUGAUUUGAAAGGCGCUUUCGGGUGUCGCUGAUGGAUGGACCCGCGGUGCAUUAGCUAGUUGGUGAGGUAACGGCUCACCAAGGCCACGAUGCAUAGCCGACCUGAGAGGGUGAUCGGCCACAUUGGGACUGAGACACGGCCCAAACUCCUACGGGAGGCAGCAGUAGGGAAUCUUCGGCAAUGGACGAAAGUCUGACCGAGCAACGCCGCGUGAGUGAAGAAGGUUUUCGGAUCGUAAAACUCUGUUGUUAGAGAAGAACAAGGAUGAGAGUAACUGUUCAUCCCUUGACGGUAUCUAACCAGAAAGCCACGGCUAACUACGUGCCAGCAGCCGCGGUAAUACGUAGGUGGCAAGCGUUGUCCGGAUUUAUUGGGCGUAAAGCGAGCGCAGGCGGUUUCUUAAGUCUGAUGUGAAAGCCCCCGGCUCAACCGGGGAGGGUCAUUGGAAACUGGGAGACUUGAGUGCAGAAGAGGAGAGUGGAAUUCCAUGUGUAGCGGUGAAAUGCGUAGAUAUAUGGAGGAACACCAGUGGCGAAGGCGGCUCUCUGGUCUGUAACUGACGCUGAGGCUCGAAAGCGUGGGGAGCAAACAGGAUUAGAUACCCUGGUAGUCCACGCCGUAAACGAUGAGUGCUAAGUGUUGGAGGGUUUCCGCCCUUCAGUGCUGCAGCUAACGCAUUAAGCACUCCGCCUGGGGAGUACGACCGCAAGGUUGAAACUCAAAGGAAUUGACGGGGGCCCGCACAAGCGGUGGAGCAUGUGGUUUAAUUCGAAGCAACGCGAAGAACCUUACCAGGUCUUGACAUCCUUUGACCACUCUAGAGAUAGAGCUUCCCCUUCGGGGGCAAAGUGACAGGUGGUGCAUGGUUGUCGUCAGCUCGUGUCGUGAGAUGUUGGGUUAAGUCCCGCAACGAGCGCAACCCUUAUUGUUAGUUGCCAUCAUUCAGUUGGGCACUCUAGCAAGACUGCCGGUGACAAACCGGAGGAAGGUGGGGAUGACGUCAAAUCAUCAUGCCCCUUAUGACCUGGGCUACACACGUGCUACAAUGGGAAGUACAACGAGUCGCGAAGUCGCGAGGCUAAGCUAAUCUCUUAAAGCUUCUCUCAGUUCGGAUUGUAGGCUGCAACUCGCCUACAUGAAGCCGGAAUCGCUAGUAAUCGCGGAUCAGCACGCCGCGGUGAAUACGUUCCCGGGCCUUGUACAC